AAACUGGGAUUAGAUACCCUACUAUGCUUAGCCCUAAAUCUUGAUACUUAGCCCACCAAAGUAUCCGCCCGAGAACUACGAGCACAAACGCUUGAAACUCUAAGGACUUGGCGGUGCCCCAAACCCACCUAGAGGAGCCUGUUCUAUAAUCGAUAACCCACGAUGCACCCAACCGCUCCUCGCCAGAACAGCCUACAUACCGCCGUCGCCAGCUCACCUCCCCUGAGAGUGCAACAGUGAACACAACAGCCUCAACCACGCUAACAAGACAGGUCAAGGUAUAGCCUAUGGAGCGGAAGAAAUGGGCUACAUUUUCUAAACUAGAAAACCCACGGAAGGGGGUGUGAAACCACCCCCGGAAGGCGGAUUUAGUAGUAAAACAGGAUAAUAAAGCCUGCUUUAAACUGGCUCUGGGGCACGUACACACCGCCCGUCACCCUC
rnacentral:rRNA from 1 species